GCUGGAGUCAUAUUCUAACUCAUUCCUAUCAACAUUCCUCUCAAUUUUAAUCCUUGGCUGAUUUGGGUUGAUUGAUUUCUGGGUUUUAUUGUUCUUAGUCUAAUCAAGAGACCCGUCGACUGCUCGUGCUUCGGAGUCUACGCAGGGUUAGCUGUUUGCCAAGAUUCACGUGGAUAAGCAAGCAGUGAGUUUGUAGUGCUAUUUACCGCUUUAUUAAGUACCGCAAUUUAUUUUUAAUAUUAUAAAUGCUUUUGAACUGUUUUAAGCGAUUAUGGAUCUGGAUUGAAACGAGCUACUCGAUAGGCUUGUAUCGAGACUGUGUGCACCGGUAAGUACUUUGGGAAACGGCAGACUAAAGUCUUGCUUACGCUGGUAUAUAUAUAUGACGAGGAUUUGUUCCCGUCCACUCUGGGUUUAUCGGUAUGCUAUGUCAUACUUACGCUGGGAUCAUUUUAAUACUGUUUUCCAUAAUCAUACUAUAUUAGUAUAAACUGUUUUGAUUUAAGGGUUUUAAACUUAAUAAAUGUAAAUAGUAUUGCGAACUCAUCUCAGUAUAUCUGACCCCGUUGUUUUCCCAAAUUUUCCAGGUUUAUGAUUUGAAAGCUGGUCCACUCCGAUUCUUUUGAUUCUUCGGAGGUUUUUAUGUUAUUUAACUAGUUACUGUUUUCGAACUCUUAGACCGCAGUAGAACUAGUUUAUUUAUUACAUCUGAUAUUACACUUUAGAAUUGUCGAUAUAUUCGAUUAUUUAUAUUUGGCAUGAUUACUCCGGAUUACGAUAUUGUUAUAUAUAAGGCAUGUUGUUGAACAUUUAAGAUAUUUAAGUUAUUUAUAUUUGAACUGUAUUAUAAAUUGCUAGACCUAGGUUGGAGUCUCGGUUGCCCCCGAGCAGUUUUCUG